CCAGAACUCUGUCAGGGACUCCAAAACCUGCAGGAACUGGUUGUGGAGCUGUUCCAGAGUACUCUGCCAAACCGGACCAGAAGAAAAACAGAGCGCGCUUCCCUUCUCACUCCCCUGCCAGCCGAGCCUCCAUGUGUCCGUGCCAGUGCUGCCUCCUCCCUAGCUGUGCCUGGUGAGGGAUGACCUGGCGCCGGAUCUGAUGGAAGCAGCUGGAACGUGGGGAGGACUCCAAGCUAUUUUUUACCGGGUGCCAGAGGGGUGAGGAGGGCCAGUUGGGCAGGUGGGCACAGAGUGGGGUCCCACCACCCUUCCCUGUCCCCAGUGGAUGUCAUCUGGGCUUAGGAUAACAGUGACUAGCUGCCGCCCCUACUUGGCCAUGAUGGAAACAGCGUGACAGUCAGAUGUCCUGCUGGGAAGACUGAUGAGAGCAUCCCAUUUGCAACUCCACAGCCAAAGCGGGACCUCCAGGGAGCGCUCCAAGCGUGGCAGCGGCACUGGCAGCGGUGUAUCACUGCACAAGGUCACUACCUCGAAGAGGACGGCGGCCAAAUUUAAAUCAGGUAUCGUGUGUACAGACAUAUAUUACAAUCUUUCCCUAACAUUAACCAAGUGCUCUGAGUGCUUGAACAUUACCAUAAAAAAAGUUUGAUAAUGCUAUAGUCCCUACAAAUAAAUACUGCAAAUACACUGUCUGUGAACAUUUUACAGAUACAUUCAGAAUUGCUUAAUCUUUACUCCCUAACUUUUUCAUACCUGGAAAGAAGAAACAGCACACAAUCUCACAAGUUGUGAGGAAAAGGAAACAGCAUCUGUUCAAAGCCAAUUCUGACUGAAGCACAUUAAAUGCAGCACAGCAGCACUGUUGCAUAAACGUUCAAUACAUUAAAGAGCAAAAUACACUGAAACACACAAACAUGCACCUACAGACACUACAGACUGUUUUCUGCACUCCUGUGUCUGUACACAGAAUUUGCUUACACACACACACACAUUCACACCAGAGGUGUGAAUGGCCUUUGGCCACAGGCAGAGUUUUCACAGUAAACUAACCUUGAUCAAUAACCUGCUUUGGACCUCAGCAAAACCCACUGUUCUCCGUACUGCUGGAUU